UACGUAGGGUGCGAGCGUUAAUCGGAAUUACUGGGCGUAAAGCGUGCGCAGGCGGUUGUGCAAGACAGAUGUGAAAGCCCCGGGCUCAACCUGGGAAUGGCAAUGGAAACUGGCGGGCUAGAGUGUGGCAGAGGGGGGUGGAAUUCCGCGUGUAGCAGUGAAAUGCGUAGAGAUGCGGAGGAACACCGAUGGCGAAGGCAGCCCCCUGGGCUGACACUGACGCUCAGGCACGAAAGCGUGGGGAGCAAACAGG
rnacentral:rRNA from 1 species